CAGGUCAGCUGGGGGAAGGACUGGACAUUUCAAUGUGUAACUUAUACGUGAAUUUUUCUGCAAGUAAGAAUUUCAAUUUUUGCCACAAUGGUACACUUGGGACAACUUUUCUGAUACCUGUGCAGAAAUGAUAACAGAUGGGUUAGGAAAAUAUGCAUCAUAGGUGCAAAAAUAGUCCUACAGCAAAGUGGUGAUGCUGCUGAAAUGCAGUAGAGUCAGUGCUUACUUCCAGGUUGAAAAACAUACUGACCUUAUAUUUCGACCUCCUUCCUCACCUGUUUGGGAAAAAAAUUGUAGCUUUUUUUUUGAGUCUGUUGUUUUCCAUGCAGGCUACAGAAAGCAUUGCAACAUCUGCUUGGGCAACACCAUUUGCUCCUUUAUUAAAAAACAACGCACUCUGCAUACCAUGUUUUUAGAUCAUGUACAUUUACGUAGAUGCUCACACACAAAUAUUUCACAGAACGGCCAGGGUUGGAAGGGACCUCGAGGAUCAUGAAUCCCCAUGAAUUUCACGAGAUCCGACAGCUCUUCCAGGAUUAAUUUCCAGUUGUAGGCUCUUAAACCCAACCGAAGGGAACAAAACGUCUGGAUAGUCCUGCCGGAUGAGACAAAGUUCGGGGCUCCCGCGGCUCGGGGGAGUCCAAGGCAAAACGCCGCACCUGCUCGGCGCCGCCCCCGCUCCUGGACGCUGAAGGACAACGCGCCUCACCGCCCCGCUCUGGAAGGCGCACGGAGGGCGCAUGCGCGGCCCCGCCGCUCGGGCGGGCAAAUUCAAACCUGCCCUCGCGCCCCUCCGCUCCGCAGGGGUAGCGGCUGGGCUGACGUCAUUGCGCCGCGUCCUUCUCCGUGGUUUCCGGCGCUCGUGCGCGCGGAGCGGGCGGGCGCUCUCCGCAUCCCUUCCUGCCGCCUCGGGGCCUGCGAGCUCCGGCUACAGGCUGUCGCAACGACGCCGGCGAUGGCAGCGGGGCGCCUGGAGGCGGCCGCAUCGCGGGUGGCUGUGCUGGAGGAAGAGCUGCGGUGCCUGGCGGAGGAGCUGAGCCGCUGCCAGUACGAAGAUCUGCAAUAUCAGAUGAAGUUUGGUGGAGGCAGAUGAAAGACCCUCUGCAUGUUUGUUAACUGAACUUACAUUAUACGAGGGCUGCUCCAAAAGUAAUGCUUCUUAUUUUAUUUUGUUGGCCAAUGACGUCAGAGGCAAAUAUUGGUGGUAUGGCAGUUAGAAGUUGAACCUCCAGACCAGUAUUUUAUUACAUGCUGUUAGCAUGCAACAGAUGGCAGACCAUGUCUGUCAAAGUGAUAUUUGACAUAGAAGUACAUCUGAAGCAAAGGUAUGGAAUUGAAUUCCUCCAUUUGGAAGGAACUGUAUUUAUUGACAUCAGUAUUGGCAUGUUUCAGCAGUGGCAGCAGUGCCGUGAAAGAAAAUACGUAUUCUGGAUGGUCAUGCACCGCUGUCACCAUGAAAUGAAGAGCUUCUUGGUCAGCCCAUCUGGGUGAAUCAGCUGAUGGUGAUGACUGCAGUGAAAAACAGUGUUUUGUAGCUGAGAAUUUGCUCUAUCAAGUAGUGCUAUUGUGCUCCUGGUAUUUGUUGUAGUUUUCAUGGAAAUAAAUAGGAGGCAUUACUUUUGGAAUGUAGUACGUAAGAUAUUUCUUGAAAUGGGUUAUAAAUAAUAGUAACUUGUAGUUAAGUGUCUGAUUUUCCCUUUUAGAUUUGUUCGUGUGCAUUUGUGUGCAUUAAUGUUUGUUCAUUAAUGAGCCCGUUCCAAUUAUUUUGAAGUGAGCAACCGGAAUUUUCUUCUUAAUUUAUUGAUCCAGCAUGAAGCUGAAGGUGGUUAUGUCCUGGAUUAUGUCAUUAUUAGAGAUGAGAUAUGCUGUCACCACUAUGAAUGAACUGGUUUCAAAACUACAAUUCAUGGAAUGGUUACGUAUGAAUUUCCCAUCGAAGCUCAAGAUGUAGCCCUGUUGGAUAAAGCAAUGUACAAUUUUGGGGUAGGAAAAGGAUGAUCCUUCUGGAUUUUCUGGAAACUGGACAAUCCCUCAACUCUGACUGCUGUGUUGUGACCCUGUCUGAGUUGAAGGCUCACACUUCCAGAGUCAGGCUGGAGAAGUUUCUCUUUCAGCAUGAUAACGCCAGGCCUCAUCUGUUUGAAGACCAUGAAGCACGUUGCCAAUCUUAGCUGGACUUUCCUACCACCUCUAACAUAAAGUCUGGGUUUGGCACCUUCUGACUUCCAUCUGUUCAGGCCAAUGAAAGAUGGUCCACUUGGGCAAGAUUUUUCUAGCAUUAGCGCCAUCCCAGCACCUGUGAAACAAUGGAUCACCUCCACUAAAGGGACCUUUGUGAGCAUGGCAUGCAGCUCUUGUUUAUCACUCCUGAAAAUACAUAGCUAAAUGGUGGUGACUGUAUUGAAAAUAGCAUUCUACUGCUAUGAAUUUGCACUGUCAAGUAGUACUAGUGUGCUUUUUUUAUCAGCUGUAGUUUCCAUGGUAGUAAGUAGGAGAUGUUACUUUUGGAGCCGUCUGCUUGCUUUUGGCUACUGUAUUUUUCUGUCACAAGAUCCUGGUGUUGCUGACCCUUUUUCUUAUUUGAUGUAGUGUUGUAUUCUAAGAUUUUUACCUCAUCGCGUUUUUUAGCCUUUUAAGAUAAGUCUAGAAGUUGUUGGCUUAGAGUUACAGUACUUGGUGUUUUAUUUAGUUUUUGUAACAACGUUGUGGGAGCUUGAAUCGUGAUAAGUAGAUUCUUGAGCAUAGCAAUUCCGUUCCUGUUGUUUUGUAAAUACUGAUACUGUUUUAUCAUUCUGAAAUAAGAAGGCUAUUAAGAAAACGGUCUCAAGUUCCCAAACCAUCAAUGGUGGAGACUUUUAUAAAACUGAGAAAGAAAAUAUUUGGAGUCUCUUUGUCUCUGGUAUUCUGCUGUUUGGGAAAAUAAUGAUGGCUGCAUCUGCAGCAGAACACUGUGUAAGUAUUUUGAUACUCAGUUAAUGAACAACUCUUCAUUUCAGUGCUCCUUUACUUCUAAUUUUACUUAAGAAUAGCUUGAAUGAUGGAGUUGUUUGCUGAAAACAAUUGCGGAGGAGAAGACAUGAAUACUUUUUUUCUGACCUUGUUCCAGUUCUGUGUCUCGCUCUAUUUUGUUGGGGAACAGUAGGAAGGAAGAGGUCAGACAGUGAGUUUUAACACAUCUGGUUUCUGUUACUUGCUUUAAUUGCUGCAUUCUAUUUUAGUGUUUUAUACUUUUGCUUACCACCUAAAUAUCUUGAGAGCCCUACUUGGAAUAUCUCUAACAGCUAUGUCCAUAUUCCUCUUUGGAGUUCUUGGCUCUCAUUGGUGUUUAUAAGAUGCGGGGUGUGCUUUCUGAUUCUCCUUUUCCCUUGUGGUUCUGUAUUUUUUUUUUUUUUUGAGCAAAUGAAAGUGCUGUUUUUUUG